rnacentral:rRNA from 1 species
CUACGGGGCGCACCAGUAGGGAAUCUUAGACAAUGGGGGAAACCCUGAUCUAGCCAUGCCGCGUGAGUGAUGAAGGCCUUAGGGUUGUAAAGCUCUUUCGCUGGGGAAGAUAAUGACGGUACCCAGUAAAGAAACCCCGGCUAACUCCGUGCCAGCAGCCGCGGUAAUACGGAGGGGGUUAGCGUUGUUCGGAAUUACCGGGCGUAAAGCGCGCGUAGGCGGGCUAUUAAGUCAGGGGUGAAAUCCCGGGGCUCAACCCCGGAACUGCCUUUGAUACUGGUAGUCUUGAGUUCGAGAGAGGUGAGUGGAAUUCCGAGUGUAGAGGUGAAAUUCGUAGAUAUUCGGAGGAACAUCAGUGGCGAAGGCGACUCACUGGCUCGAUACUGACGCUGAGGUGCGAAAGUGUGGGGAGCAAACAGGAUUAGAUACCCGCGUAGUC